GGCUUCGUAGCUCAGCUGGUAGAGCGCUUGCCACGUUGAGGCAAGAUGUUCCUGUUGCUGGUUCAAAUCCAGCCAAAGCCC
rnacentral:tRNA from 1 species